AAAAAGGACCCAGAGAGGCUUGGAGACCAGCAACGAGGUUCUGGAGUCCAGAAGUCCAAGACCAAGGUGUCGGCGUGGCCAUGCUCCCCCUGAAGGCAGCAGAAUAGUUCAUGUUAGCACACAGCAAGAUGGUGCAUCUGCAAGCCAGGAAGAGGGUCAUCACCAAGAACUAAAUCUGCCAGCAACUUGAUCUUGGACU